rnacentral:rRNA from 1 species
UACGUAGGGUGCGAGCGUUGUCCGGAAUUACUGGGCGUAAAGAGCUCGUAGGUGGUUUGUCGCGUUGUCCGUGAAAACUCACAGCUUAACUGUGGGCGUGCGGGCGAUACGGGCAGACUGGAGUACUGCAGGGGAGACUGGAAUUCCUGGUGUAGCGGUGGAAUGCGCAGAUAUCAGGAGGAACACCGAUGGCGAAGGCAGGUCACUGGGCCGCAACUGACGCUGAGGAGCGAAAGCAUGGGGAGCGAACAGG